rnacentral:rRNA from 1 species
GUCCACGCAGUAAACGAUGAGUGCUAGAUGUCGGGACUUAGGUUUCGGUGUCGCAGCUAACGCAUUAAGCACUCCGCCUGGGGAGUACGGUCGCAAGACUAAAACUUAAAGGAAUUGACGGGGACCCCGCACAAGCGGUGGAACAUGUGGUUUAAUUCGAUGCUACGCGAAAACCUUACCAGGCCUUGACAUGGUGAUCAUAUGGCUGUGAAAGCAGCUAGUCGGUUCGGCCGGAUCAUCACAGGUGUUGCAUGGCUGUCGU